rnacentral:rRNA from 1 species
GACGAACGCUGGCGGCGUGCCUAAUACAUGCAAGUCGAACGCUUUUUCUUUCACCGGAGCUUGCUCCACCGAAAGAAAAAGAGUGGCGAACGGGUGAGUAACACGUGGGUACCUGCCCAUCAGAAGGGGAUAACACUUGGAAACAGGUGCUAAUACCGUAUAACACUAUUUUCCGCAUGGAAGAAAGUUGAAAGGCGCUUUUGCGUCACUGAUGGAUGGACCCGCGGUGCAUUAGCUAGUUGGUGAGGUAACGGCUCACCAAGGCAACGAUGCAUAGCCGACCUGAGAGGGUGAUCGGCCACACUGGGACUGAAACACGGCCCAGACUCCUACGGGAGGCAGCAGUAGGGAAUCUUCGGCAAUGGACGAAAGUCUGACCGAGCAACGCCGCGUGAGUGAAGAAGGUUUUCGGAUCGUAAAACUCUGUUGUUAGAGAAGAACAAGGAUGAGAGUAAAAUGUUCAUCCCUUGACGGUAUCUAACCAGAAAGCCACGGCUAACUACGUGCCAGCCGCCGCGGUAACAC